AUUGAACGCUGGCGGCAUGCUUUACACAUGCAAGUCGAACGGUAACAGCACUUCGGUGGCUGACGAGUGGCGACCGGGUGAGUAAUACAUAGGAACGUGCCUCGUAGUGGGGGAUAACUACUCGAAAGAGUAGCUAAUACCGCAUGAGAUCUAAGGAUGAGAGCAGGGGACCUUCGGGGCUUGCGCCACUCGAGCGGCUGAUGGCAGAUUAGGUCGUUGGUGGGAUAAAAGCUUACCAAGGCGACGAUUUGUAGCUGGUCUGAGAGGACGAGCAGCCACACUGGAACUGAGACACGGCCCAGACUCCUACGGGAGGCAGCAGUGGGGAAUUUUGGACAAUGGGCGCAAGCCUGAUCGAGCAAUGCCGCGUGCAGGAUGAAGGCCUUCGGGUUGUAAACUGCUUUUGUACGGAACGAAAAGCUCUCUUCUAAUACAGGAGGAUCAUGACGGUACCGUAAGAAUAAGCACCGGCUAACUACGUG
rnacentral:rRNA from 1 species